rnacentral:rRNA from 1 species
UACGUAGGUGGCAAGCGUUGUCCGGAUUUACUGGGCGUAAAGGGUGUGCAGGCGGUCUGUUAAGUCUAGGGUGAAAGCUCCUGGCUCAACUGGGAGAGGUCCUUGGAUACUGGCGGACUUGAGGGAGGCAGAGGAAAGUGGAAUUCCCGGUGUAGUGGUGAUAUGCGUAGAUAUCGGGAGGAACACCAGUGGCGAAGGCGGCUUUCUGGGCCUUACCUGACGCUGAGACGCGAAAGCGUGGGGAGCGAACCGG